AUCCUCUCAGCAGUGGUAUCGUAGCUCAUGAGUCAAUCUGAGGCGUGAUUAUUGCUAGUUGAAAACUUUAAUCCAAUUCCCGCUUUGACGACCUGCAAUAUAGUCGGCAAUGGUACUCUUGAUGGCCAGGUCUCUAUGGAGA